rnacentral:rRNA from 1 species
GAUGAACGCUGGCGGCGUGCUUAACACAUGCAAGUCGAACGGAAAGGCUCCUGCUUGCAGGGGUACUCGAGUGGCGAACGGGUGAGUAACACGUGGGUGAUCUGCCCUGCACUUCGGGAUAAGCCUGGGAAACUGGGUCUAAUACCGGAUAGGACGAUGGUUUGGAUGCCAUUGUGGAAAGUUUUUUCGGUGUGGGAUGAGCUCGCGGCCUAUCAGCUUGUUGGUGGGGUAAUGGCCUACCAAGGCGUCGACGGGUAGCCGGCCUGAGAGGGAGUACGGCCACAUUGGGACUGAGAUACGGCCCAGACUCCUACGGGAGGCAGCAGUGGGGAAUAUUGCACAAUGGGCGCAAGCCUGAUGCAGCGACGCCGCGUGGGGGAUGACGGCCUUCGGGUUGUAAACUCCUUUCGCUAGGGACGAAGCGCAAGUGACGGUACCUGGAGAAGAAGCACCGGCUAACUACGUG